UACGGGAGGUGCAAGCGUUGUUCGGAUUUAUUGGGCGUAAAGGGCGCGUAGGCGGGUUUGCAAGUCUAGUGUGAAAUCCCAGAGCUUAACUUUGGAAUUGCAUCGGAUACUACAGAUCUUGAAUACUUGAGAGGUUGGUGGAAUUCUUGGUGUAGGAGUGAAAUCCGUAGAUAUCAAGAGGAACACCGGAGGCGAAGGCGGCCAACUGGCAAUGUAUUGACGCUGAGGCGCGAAAGUGCGGGGAGCAAACAGG
rnacentral:rRNA from 1 species